rnacentral:piRNA from 1 species
UGCUUAGACUAACUAGAGAACGUCAUGCA